rnacentral:misc_RNA from 1 species
AAGUCGUAACAAGGUUUCUAUAGGUAAACCUGUAGAAGAAUUAUUACCUUUCUAGCUAUUUAAUAGCUUGUCUAGGGGCUGUAGUUUCUAUAGUCUUUAACUAUAUUCGUGUUUUUUGUGUAAUACAUGUUUUCUUAGCAAGCUUGCUUGCUAGUUAGAUAAACUAAAACUCUUUAUAAUUGCAAUUAGCGUCUAAAUUAUAUAAUAAUUACAA